UACGAAGGGGGCUAGCGUUGUUCGGAAUUACUGGGCGUAAAGGGUUUGUAGGCGGUCUUUUAAGCCAGAGGUGAAAGCCCGGGGCUUAACCCCGGAAUUGCCAUUGGUACUGGAAGGCUAGAGAGUGUUAGAGGAAAGUGGAAUUCCUAGUGUAGGAGUGAAAUCCGUAGAGAUUAGGAGGAAUAUCGAUGGCGAAGGCAGCUUUCUGGGACAUUUCUGACGCUGAGAAACGAAAGCGUGGGUAGCAAACAGG
rnacentral:rRNA from 1 species